rnacentral:tRNA from 1 species
GUUUAGGUAGCUUAAGUUUAAAGCAUUACUUUGAAGAUGUAGGUAUAAUAUAUAUAUUCCUAAACA